CUUAUUUGUCAGCUAGAGGGCGCCAAUGUUGCCAUCAUUUACUCUUUAAAUUAUUACGCUACUUCUAUGAACUCACCUUUUUUAAUUUAAUAUGGGGAAUUCAUCAAAGAGAAGGGCCAACUCCAUAGGAUGCGAGGAAAACAUAAUAAAGUUUUAAUUAAAUAAUUGGUAUCUCGGCCACCUUCGUCAAGACGCAACAGUUUUCAUCUCAAUAGAGGCAUCAUGCGCCAAAAAGUUUUUUCAUAGACAAGGAAAUAUCAUCAGGCUAACAAAUGGAAAAACUAAAGUAUUUAAUACUAAUAGAUGCAAUUCCGUUAGUGAUAAAUCAUCAUUUGGAAAAGGGACUGAAAAAGCAUCACCCUUUUGGUACUGAAGAUAUUUUAUUAUUUUAAGAACAGAAAGAAAAAAAGAAAAUCCUGGUAGCUGAUACUAAUAGUCCAAAAGACUGAUAGUCUUAAGGACCGGUCCCAUGACCGAUAGGAUCUGUUCCAAGACUGGACUGGACCAAAUAGAUAUGGAAUGACACGACACUACCUAUAAUCAAUCAACAGACGAAUAUUUAAUUAUAUCUUCAUCUACUAAUGUAGAAAACAUUGAUUCAUUUGGAGUCUUUCACAAAUAGAUGAAUUUUCUUGGAUGCCGAAACUUAAAAAUUGGAUUCCUCGAGGUUCGUUGAAGAACAAUUUUCCGAGAAACGAGAAACCCGAAUAAGAAGAUCCUUUUCGAUAAGACUAGC
rnacentral:lncRNA from 1 species